rnacentral:rRNA from 1 species
GACAGAGGGUGCAAACGUUGCUCGGAAUCAUUGGGCGUAAAGCGCACGUAGGCGGUUUGUUAUGUCGGAUGUGAAAGCCCUUGGCUCAACUGAGAAAGUGCAUCCGAAACUGGCAAGCUAGAGUACUAAAGAGGGUCGCGGAAUUCCCGGUGUAGAGGUGAAAUUCGUAGAUAUCGGGAGGAACACCGGUGGCGAAGGCGGCGACCUGGGUAGAUACUGACGCUGAGGUGCGAAAGCGUGGGGAGCAAACAGG